rnacentral:rRNA from 1 species
CCUACGGGCGGCAGCAGUGAGGAAUAUUGGUCAAUGGACGAGAGUCUGAACCAGCCAAGUAGCGUGAAGGAUGACUGCCCUACGGGUUGUAAACUUCUUUUAUAAAGGAAUAAAACGAGGCACGUGUGCCUUUUUGCAUGUACUUUAUGAAUAAGGAUCGGCUAACUCCGUGCCAGCAGCCGCGGUAAUACGGAGGAUCCGAGCGUUAUCCGGAUUUAUUGGGUUUAAAGGGAGCGUAGAUGGGUUGUUAAGUCAGUUGUGAAAGUUUGCGGCUCAACCGUAAAAUUGCAAUUGAUACUGGCAGUCGUGAGUACAGUUGAGGUAGGCGGAAUUCGUGGUGUAGCGGUGAAAUGCUUAGAUAUCACGAAGAACCCCGAUUGCGAAGGCAGCUUACUAAACUGUGACUGACAUUGAUGCUCGAAAGUGUGGGUAUCAAACAGGAUUAGAUACCCCUGUAGUC